CAUCCGGGCGCCCUCGGGUCGGGGUGGGGGUCUCCCGGGUCGCCGGAGUGGCCGACAGCCUCGUCUGAGAGCCAGGCAGUGUCAAGUGAAGUUCCCUGACCUUCUCGCCUUACGGGAACGUGGAAGGAUAAGCAGAUAGGAGAUAACAUAGCUGUCCUCUGAGAGACUCCACCCAGCAAUGGAUCAAAACAGAUGCUGAGACUCACAGCCAAACAUUGGGUGGAGUGAAAAGAGUCUUGUGGAAGAAUGGGAGAAAUAAUAGAAGGAUCCAGAGGGAACAGGAGCUCCACAAGAAGACCAAUGAAGCCAACUGAGCUGGGCUUAGGAGGGCUUACGGAUCAUCAACCAAGGAUGGUGCAUGGACUCAACCUAGGUCCCUUACACAUAUGUGGAUGAUGGGUAGCUUGGGUCCCCAAGAAAGGGGAGAGGAGACUGUAUCUGACAUGGACUCUGUUGCCUGCUUUUCAAGCACUUCCUCCUGGUAGAUCUGCCUUGCCAGGCCACAGGGGAAGAAGAUAUGCAAAAUCCUGAUGUGACUUGAUGUACUGGUCUGAGUUGAUGAGGGGAGGCUCCUCCUAUCUGAGGAGUAGUGGAGGGGGUUAGGGGAAGAGGAAGGGAGCGAGGGGAACAGGGCCUACAAUUGGGAUGUAAAGUAAAUAAAUAAACUAAUUUUAAAAGACAAAUUUCCUCAAGAGAAGUGGAGGGGGGCAGAGGGAGCGAGAGAGAAGUUCCUGGAAUGCUGGUGGUUGUUAUUCAUGUAAGACAACAGCCACGUGUUUUCACUUUUGUAAACAGGUUGGUUGCCUCAACUGCACAGAAUGUGCUGAUCACAUGUAGAUGGGAGGCAGUUUGGUAGGAAGUGCAUCAGGAUGUAUGCUUGACCCCAAUUGGUCAAAGGCAGGAAAUAUGUAGACCUUUAUAAGCACCAGACUAAUAUUAAUCCGCAGUUAUUGUCUAGGAAUCCCAGGUAUUAACCUGCUCAGUGCCUGUCAUUCUGGAAGAUAUUUAAUAAAGCUUGCUUCAACUUUAGCUCAAAAA